CCCCACCUCCUGCUCUCUCAGAAGCCACGUGGCCAAAGCCCUCUCUCCUGGCGUGGGCAGGUGGGCACGCAGAAGCUGCCACUUUUGUCAAUUUUGGGCAUCUCUGACGGGACAGAUCUCUGCUUGGCUGGGGCUGGCUGCUUGCAGCACCUUGCCUUUCAGACAGAGCAUUUAAGCUCUUGCAGAAGACGAAGCUUGGUAAAAACACAUUCCUAUCUACCCUCUAUCUAGGUAUAAUUAAAAGUAAAUUAUGCUGCCCCGCUCCCUCUGCGGCCGGCGGGGUGAAAUCCUGGCUGUGCCACUCCAAAACCUUGGGGAGCUCCGCUGCUGUUUUCCAGGCCGAAGGCACAGAGGGUGAAAGCUCUGGGCUCAGAUCCUGGCCUCCCUCAGCCCCACGUUGCAGCACGCAGCUGCUGCUGGCUGACCACCAGCUGCGGGCGUCUUCACACCAGGGAGACCCAAAGGCUGUUGUUUUUUUUUUUUUUUUUUUUUUUUUUUUUUUUUUUUUUUUAAUUUUACCAAGACUGUCUCCUCCAACCAUGACUUUCUCAGCUCGCUGUUUAUUUUUCAGCUUGCACCCAGCUUGAGCACAGACUCCCCGAGCCCCCCACUUUGCAGCCGAGGUGUCCCCACGCGGCUCUCCCCGCACCGGCUCCAUCCUUCCCUGCAGGCAGGGGCUGGAUACGGCCGCAGGGGGGGCCGCAGGAGGGGGCGGUGGGGGCCUCUCCACCCGACACCCGGGGCUGUUGGCAUCAGGAAGCAGAACAAAAUGCAGAGGCAAUUCAUCGGGGCCAUUUGUCCGCCGCUCACAAAUUGCCGACCCUCGCAGAGGCUUCUCACCACGGAAAAAUGUGUCCCGCUCCCCGGCACAGCAACAGGCACCGUCGGCGCUUUGCUUAGCCUGCUGUGAGGAGUCGUGGCAAGGAGGGAUGCGACUGGAGGAUGGGGGAACUCGAGGCUGGAUGGCCCAAAGUCGCUUGGUUGUGUCCCCAUCCCGCCCUCCCACUGUCUGCAACACCGAGAAACCUCGCAUGUCCUCAGGGCUCCUUAACCUUG
rnacentral:lncRNA from 1 species